rnacentral:rRNA from 1 species
ACGGAGGAUGCGAGCGUUAUCCGGAUUUAUUGGGUUUAAAGGGUGCGUAGGUUGUUUUUUAAGUCAGCGGUGAAAGUUUGUGGCUCAACCAUAAAAUUGCCGUUGAAACUGGAAGACUUGAGUGUGUUUGAGGUAGGCGGAAUGCGUGGUGUAGCGGUGAAAUGCAUAGAUAUCACGCAGAACUCCGAUUGCGAAGGCAGCUUACUAAACCAUAACUGACACUGAAGCACGAAAGCGUGGGGAUCAAACAG